GACGAACGCUGGCGGCGUGCUUAACACAUGCAAGUCGAACGGAAAGGCCCUGCUUUUGUGGGGUGCUCGAGUGGCGAACGGGUGAGUAACACGUGAGUAACCUGCCCUUGACUUUGGGAUAACUUCAGGAAACUGGGGCUAAUACCGGAUAGGAGCUCCUGCUGCAUGGUGGGGGUUGGAAAGUUUCGGCGGUUGGGGAUGGACUCGCGGCUUAUCAGCUUGUUGGUGGGGUAGUGGCUUACCAAGGCUUUGACGGGUAGCCGGCCUGAGAGGGUGACCGGCCCCCUUGGGCCUGAGAGACGGCCCAGACUCCUACGGGAGGCAGCAGUGGGGAAUAUUGCACAAUGGGCGGAAGCCUGAUGCAGCAACGCCGCGUGCGGGAUGACGGCCUUCGGGUUGUAAACCGCUUUCGCCUGUGACGAAGCGUGAGUGACGGUAAUGGGUAAAGAAGCACCGGCUAACUACGUG
rnacentral:rRNA from 1 species